UGCAUAUCAAAAAGCGGAGGAAAAGAAACCAACAGGGAUUGCCUUAGUAGCGGCGAGUGAAGCGGCAAAAGCUCAAAUUUGAAAUCUGGCUCUUUCAGAGUCCGAGUUGUAAUUUGAAGAAGGUAUCUUUGGGUCUGGCUCUUGUCUAUGUUUCUUGGAACAGAACGUCACAGAGGGUGAGAAUCCCGUGCGAUGAGAUGAUCCAGGCCUAUGUAAAGUUCCUUCGAAGAGUCGAGUUGUUUGGGAAUGCAGCUCUAAGUGGGUGGUAAAUUCCAUCUAAAGCUAAAUAUUGGCGAGAGACCGAUAGCGAACAAGUACAGUGAUGGAAAGAUGAAAAGAACUUUGAAAAGAGAGUGAAAAAGUACGUGAAAUUGUUGAAAGGGAAGGGCUUGAGAUCAGACUUGGUAUUUUGUAUGUUACUUCUUCGGGGGUGGCCUCUACAGUUUAUCGGGCCAGCAUCAGUUUGGGCGGUAGGAGAAUUGCGUUGGAAUGUGGCACGGCUUCGGUUGUGUGUUAUAGCCUUCGUCGAUACUGCCAGCCUAGACUGAGGACUGCGGUUUAUACCUAGGAUGUUGGCAUAAUGAUCUUAAGUCGCCCGUCUUGAACCC
rnacentral:rRNA from 1 species